rnacentral:misc_RNA from 1 species
AAAUAACAAUAAAAAGAUACAUUGCCCUGGCAGCAAUAUGGGUGCGGCAUUAGUUUAGUCCAAUCUAGACUGUAAGACAGUAUGCAGGUUAUCUGUCGCUACGCUUUGUAGCUGUUAUCAGUUCGACUAGUUAGCCCGGUAGACGUUGUUCUGCCAUUUAAAAUAUCAAUAUUAAUUUCGAAGAGCAAUGGAGUGUACAUUAUUUGUUGUCAGUCCAACAUACAUAAAUAAGCUCGGUGGUUUGCGCAAACGGAAUCAUGCGAAAAACCUUAAAUUUCCAAAUCUAAGUCCCAAACUGACAUUGGGAUGUAUUUGAUUGACAUUGCGAAUGCCAAUCUAAAAGGAAAUGGAACGCGUUUGGAAAGAAUAUUAGCUGCUAAAUGUUUUGAAAAGACGGGGGGAAAGGCCUUCCCAUGGCAGGGUAAUUCAGAAGCUACUGCUCCGGAUCUCAGAUUGUUGGUAUAUGGUACGACCCGAGGGCUUGGGAAACACCCAGCCUUAUUUAAUAGGUCAUCCAGCUCGACGACAAUGCGCCUGGAUUUUGGGGAAUUCAAGUUAUUGUAGCCGCAGCGUGUAUCCACACGAUUGGGGUGGGUCAUUCGUGGUCUACACGGUUGAUGAGCCGCCCAUGAAGUAUAUUUACAAAAAUUUAUGUGCUUCGUUUGGCAAUACCGUAUUUUACAAUUAUCUACUGACGCCUGCAAUGAGGCACUCAAUAAAGCUUGCCGUCCUGGCAACUAGCAACUAGAGGUC